AAGGACAUGUGAUGAAAACGUGGAAAGUACCCCUCGCCAGGGGUGCACUGAAACAAAAUUGUGGAUCCAUUCCAUGUUGCCUUCCUUCUGAUGUCCUU